CUCUCGCUCUUAACGCAAAACCCUUCUUCUUCACGCUCUACUUCACCGUGGCGUUCCGUUCUUCAGCGUGCGAUUGGCUAGGUUGAGGUUGAUUUUGAUUUCACAAUUUUCAGGUUGCCUUUCGAAAUUCAAUUCCUCCAUAGUUGCAGCAAAGGUAAGAUUUCUUCUUCUCGUGCUUCUCAACUAUUUCAUUGCUUCCAAUUUUAUUGCUCCUUCAUCUUCUCUAUGGAAUUGCGUUAAACAGCCCCCAUGUGUCUACUGUAAAAGAUCUAAAACAAGAUAGGGUUAAGAGAGAUAGCUCCUUGGUUGUGAUAUUCUUGGUCACGAGGCAAAUACUACUGUCUAAUUACUCUUUGGCUGUUGCAAAGGAAGGUGAUCUUUGAUAUGGCUUUGACUAAAUCAUGUCUAUGUCCCUUGUGUUUUUGGUCCCCUGUUUUCUCCCCCCCUACUCUUUACUCUCAUGCUUUCUCUCUUUUCUUUUGUCCCUUUUUCUUUAUUAUCUUGUAACUCUUUACUAGCACUCUUUACUCUUUACUGUCAUAAAGUUUCUUGUGUGCUCCCUCUUGUAACUAUCUCUAGUCUAUGUAUGUGGUUUUAAUUGAAACUUUGUUGCUGGUUAAGUAAUUUUAUUAAAAAGAUCUAUGUCAAACUGGGUUGGUAAGGUUCUUUCACGUGGGGUAUGGGUUUUUUUUAUUAAAAAUUAAAACUUUAUGUUGAAUAUCAUGGAAUAUGUUAUUGGGUCUGGUUAGACUACCCCAGGCACAAGUAUUGGCAGUUUCGCACGGCUUCCUUUAUGUUACAAGUUUUGAUUGAGUUUGAUUCUGAUUUCAUCUUUUUAUUUUUUUAAUACCUGAGCCUAUGAGGAUAGAGAUUAUUAUGAAAAGCAUGUUAUUUUAAAUUGAUUUGAUUUGAUUUCCUAGCUUCUAAUUGCUGAUCAAAAGUACUUUAAGGUAUUCUUGGAGCAACAGAAAUCUAUAACAUUUGCCAUUACUUGUGUUUCACAUUAAGAUUUUAGGAUACUUUAUCAAAUAGUUUACAAUUUUAAUGCUGUGUCUAAUGGUUGAUCAUGACCUCUUUUUAAUAACUAUCUUGUUCUUAUAGUGUUUUUUGUUCAGUGAGGGGAUUUGGGCUUAGCUAUGAGGGUUGAUAUAUAUCUCAAUGUUAACAUACUCUUAUCUUAUGAUUGUUCUAGACCGCAACUUACUAUAGAAAGUGAUACGUUAUGCAUAAGUUUUGAGGGAUGAUUUUUCCAGUGCUUUCUACAAUGUCUGCUGCCAUAGCAGCUUCAGUCUUGCAGCACUUAGCUUUCUGUUUAUUAUUGUGCCAUAAUGUCUGGUAGAAUGAAAAGAUCAUACUUUUACAUAUUUAUCACAGUUGGGCAGCUAGUAAAUUUCAUUUUUAAUAAAAAAAUAAUAAUAAUUAACUACUUGCGGCGGUUUGAACCGUCGCUAAAUGAUAAUAUGAAUUCUUCCACAAAAGUAAACCACGGCGGUUCAAACCGCCGCUAAAAGUUACUGUAUCUGCGGCGGUUUAAACCGCCGCCAAAUGCUAGAUACAACUAGCGGCGGCUAUUCCAGCAGUUGGUACAAACCGCCACAGAACGCCUGGCGACACUAGUAACUGCGACGGUUGGCAAACCGCCGCAAUAUGCGUUCUGCGGCGGUUUAAACUGCCGCAAAACGUCCUGACAACCGCCACAGAAUGCCUUUUUUCUUGUAGUGGACAUAGAGUUAGGUUUGUUAGUCGCUUAAACACUCAAACUUCAUGAUAACUUUCUUUCUUAAUCAUGUGAGACAUCAAUGUUUAGGAUUAGAGAGUUAUUGUUAUCCACUCAUGCGAGACAUCGAUGAAGUAGGGUUGAACUGGUGUAGAUGAAUCAUAUUCUUAGUCUUGGUUUGUAUUUGAAUCACUAGAACGCACAAAGGUCAUUCAAUGAAAUCUAAUCCCAACAAUUUCUCAUACCUGUUGUUCCUCCAUCAUUUCAUCUGUUUUCCUUUUUACUUUCAUGUUUAAACAAUCAAACUCUUAUGAAUCCAUCAUUUAAGUUUGUCAACUAUUGAACGACAUAGUGUUACACCUCCCUGCGGAUACGACAAAACCCUUUACUAUACUACAAUUGAGUUUUGAGAGAUUCAAACGUAGAGUGGUAAAAAAUCUUUCAACAAAAUGGCGCUGUUGCCGGGGAGGUGUGCCAAUACUAAUUGCAUUGCAAUAGUUUUCAUUCUUGAAUGAUUGUGAAUAUGGUGUAUAGUUUUUGUUUUCAGUUUAACUUUCCUUGUUGUUACUAAUCUCUUGUAUUAGUUGGCUAGUUCAAGAGUUGAAGCAACAAGAAGCUUCUGAAUCACUACCUUCUCAAAAUGUUUCAAUCAUCUCAGACAUACUAUUCCCUUGAAGAGGAUAGGAUUUCUAAGCUUGAGUAUACCUUGGUGCAAUUCAUGCAAUUGUCAAUGAUUAAUCAAAGGAAUACUGAGGCUUCCAUCAAGAACUUGGGGGAUCAAUUGGGAAAGCUAGCUAAUAUGGUAGCUGAACAUGGAAGACCAAUGGUUGAAGAAAAAGUGGAAGAAAGUGAGGAAGAAGAAGAAAAAUCAAAAAAAGAAGAAAGAGAUCCAACUCUUCACCACUUACCGAUUCCUUCAAGCUCUCCAAAGGUAAAACAUGAUGAGGAUGAGGUAAGCGUUGAAGAUUUUGAUAGCAUAUCACAUCACCAAUGCAAUAAUGAAACUAUUAAUGUUGAGCAUAUAGACUCUGUAUUUGGUGAUAGGCUUGAUGAGCAAGUUCCAUCAAAUUCUUCAAAGAACUUUAAAUUUACAUUCGUUCAUAUGCAUGUAAAUACCUUGGCAUGUGAGUUGAAUGUAGGUGUGAAUUGGGUUUGAUUGAGAAAAGAAAGAAAAAGAAUGAGUCUUUGAUGGCUUGGAAAACCUUUGUUAGAAAACUAUAUAAAAUCCAAGUCAAAAGACCUAAAAAAAGGAAGGGGUUAUAUUAUAACCCUUGUUUAUGGUCACCUUGAUUGUGCAAGCGUCAAGCUAAUGACAUUAAACAAGCGCUUCCUGGGAGGCAAACCAGUGUUUUUAUUGUUUUUAUGUGUGUUUUAGUAAGUGAUACUGUGAUUUUGUGAACCUUUGUUUAACUAUGUGUUUUAAGGUUCUUCACAAGUUUUGAUAGAUACAUUGAGUGUAUUCAUAAGCUUUGGAAGCAAUGAAAAUGGUAAAAUUUGAUUUUGAGGAGGUGACUUGUGAAACUGCAUGAUGUUUGAGUGAAAUUUGGGUACUGUGAGAAUUUUGUGCAAAACCUUAGUUUAAGAGUAGCUACAGGUCCAAUUCAAUGUUUAUAAUGCAUAGGGUUUGAUGGAAAGUGAGGUUUAUAUGAAUUGAAAAUUUUGAGGUAUGUGGUUGUGUGGUUUUCAAGUGAAAAACAGAUCCCUCUAUAGCAUUUCUGUAUAAACUGUGAAAACUUGCCUCCAAUUUCUUGUGAACUAUCUCAAUUUUUUUAUUUGUAUGUCAAUUUUCAAGUCUUAGGAUAGGUGUUUAGUGAACUGUUUGAUGAUGUGAAGGAUUUCCGAAAAUGAAGGUCAAUUUGUGCUUGUCAAGUCCAUGGAGUGUGUCAUGAUGCCAUGUGCUUCAACUGUGUAUCUUAAGGCGCUCAACAAGUUUUAAAUGAUGUUAAUAGAUAGUUUUAAGGCCUAGCGUGAAGCAAGUGUAAGAAGUUCAAAAUAUGAGGUAUUGAGUUGUGAACUAAUGAAAUUUGACCCUAUUUUGAACUUGAAAUGACUGAUGUGCUAGAUAUGCUUCAAUUUCUAAUCUUAAGUUAUGCACAAGUUUCUUAGGGCAUUUGUAUAUGUUUGGAGUGAUUGGCAUGUUCUAGAAAUGAUCACAUCAAAAUAUGACCUUUUGAGUUGUGAAAAGCAUGAAAACUUGUCCUUGAAGCCUAGAAGUGUGAAUUUUUUAUAAAUUGGGCAUGGAUGCUGAAUCACAAGGUCUGAACAUGUUUCAAAUGACAAAUGAGUGUGAAUACAUCAAUUGGCUUGCUUGAAAAUUUUAAAACUCAGAAUUCGGUAUGUUCAGAUACAUGUGCCAAUUUGAUGCUUAGAUUUUGGAGAUUUGAAUGAAAAAGAUGUUUGGAAUUCAUGGAUACAGGUUUUAAUGAUCACUUAGAUGGUUUUGAUGAAGAAUAAAUGUGAUAAUUUUGCUUAGAAUGAGAUUUGGGGGUAAAUAUUGAGAGUUGCUGUUUUUUUUACUGGUAUAGGCGCCCAGCGCCCAGCGCCCAUCUGAGAGCGCUCAGCGGCCUCAAACACUGAUGCAGACCGCUCAUCGGUCUUCAGAGGCCGCUCAGCACUACCCCCUUAUCAGCAAUCCACUCUUUUAUUCAAAUGAGCAUAACUUCUUCAUUUCUUAUUGGAUUUAAGCCAAUGACCACUCUUUGGAAAGCUCUUGAAGUCUAUUUUCAUAUGGACUAGGAUUUGAAUUGUUUUAAUGCUUUGAUAUUCUCAUUUAUCCCUUAUACUAUAACAUGGUUUUCAAGUGACUGUUAGGCAGAUUAAUAGGAAAAACAUACAGUUUGGCCUGAGGACAGUCCAAUUCUCAUGGAGGGGGGAGAGAUCAAGGACUUUAGUAGAGAGUUUGAUUCAAAGAAUUAACAUCACAAGUUCGUUUGAGGAAUUCUGUGGAGCUGAAGAGGAAGGUUGUGAAGGAAAGCUUGAGGAACACGCUGGAGGAGCUACAGGAUUUAAGUUCUCAAGGAAAGAGACAUAUUUUCAUGAAACAUGAAGAAUUUUUGGAUCACCAGGGUGCCUAGCGCUUGUCAGUGGCCGCCCAGCACCCAUGACGGUUACCAGAAACCCAACCUUGAAGUAACUGGGCGUCCAGCGCCCAUAAAGGGCCCCCAGCACUCUGCACAGAUGCAAAAUCAUUAUAAAAUAAAUUUUCUUCAGUUUCAGAAAGUGGAACUUGAUCAGAACUUCGACCCAACUCAGAGAAACACUAGAAAAACAAAGGGAAAGGCUUAGGAGGCUAGAGAAGAAGCUUCGGAGGUCGGAUUCGACGGCGAGACAUCGCGACGAUUUCGAUUCUUCUCAUUCUUCUUCUCUAUUUGUAAAACUAUCCAUGAAAAUGGAUAGCUAAUCUCUCUUUGUUGGGAUUUGAUGUAGUUGUAUGAUACUUAUGCUCUCUAUGUGAUUCUCUUUUAUA